UACAUAAGUCAGUGCUUUGGGAACAGUUG
rnacentral:piRNA from 1 species